AGGACGAACGCUGGCGGUGUGCUUCACACAUGCAAGUCGAACGAGGUAGCAAUACCUAGUGGCGGACGGGUGAGUAACGCGUGGGAAUCUGCCUUUGGAUGGGGGAUAACGGUUCGAAAGAGUCGCUAAUACCGCAUAUGACGAAAGUUGAAAGGAGUAAUCCGUCUAAAGAUGAGCCCGCGUCCGAUUAGCUAGUUGGUAAGGUAAGAGCUUACCAAGGCGACGAUCGGUAGCUGGUCUGAGAGGAUGAUCAGCCACAAUGGGACUGAGACACGGCCCAUACUCCUACGGGAGGCAGCAGUGGGAAUUUUACGCAAUGGGCGAAAGCCUGACGUAGCGACACCGCGUGAACGAAGAAGCCUCUUGGGGUGUAAAGUUCUGUCAGCUGGAACGAAAAAAUGACGGUACCAGCAGAGGAAGCAUCGGCUAACUACGUGCCAGCAGCCGC
rnacentral:rRNA from 1 species